GAUGAACGCUGGCGGCGUGCCUAAUACAUGCAAGUCGAGCGAAAAGACGCGGAGCUUGCUCCUUCGACGUUAGCGGCGGACGGGUGAGUAACACGUAGGUAACCUACCUAUAAGACUGGGAUAACUUCGGGAAACCGGAGCUAAUACCGGAUAAUAUUUCGAACCGCAUGGUUCGAUAGUGAGAGAUGGCUUUGCUAUCACUAAUAGAUGGACCUGCGCCGUAUUAGCUAGUUGGUAAGGUAACGGCUUACUAAGGCAACGAUACGUAGCCGACCUGAGUGGGGGAUCGGCCACACUGGAACUGAGACACGGUCCAGACUCCUACGGGAGGCAGCAGUAGGGAAUCUUCGGCAGUGGGCGAGAGCCUUACGGAACAACGCCGCGUGAGUGAUGGAGGUCUUCGGAUCGUAAAACUCUGUUAUGAGGUAAGAACAAACUUGGAAGUAACUGUGCACUUCUUGACGGUACCUAGUCAGAAAGCCACGGCUAACUACGUG
rnacentral:rRNA from 1 species